rnacentral:tRNA from 1 species
UGGUGUAUAGCCAAAAGGUAAGGCAAUGAUUUUUGAUAUCAUGAAUGCAGGUUCGAAUCCUUUUACACCAG